rnacentral:misc_RNA from 1 species
AACAAGGCGUACCUGCGGACCUGCGGAAGGAUCAUUACAAGUGACCCCGGUCUAACCACCGGGAUGUUCAUAACCCUUUGUUGUCCGACUCUGUUGCCUCCGGGGCGACCCUGCCUUCGGGCGGGGGCUCCGGGUGGACACUUCAAACUCUUGCGUAACUUUGCAGUCUGAGUAAAUUUAAUUAAUAAAUUAAAACUUUCAACAACGGAUCU